rnacentral:lncRNA from 1 species
UUUCGACAAGCUCGAAAUAACACCCUUUAAGGCUAAGGGACUUCGCCAAAAAGAAGAGUUCGACCUUGAUCAAAUGACGACGGGUUAAUAUUUCGAAAAUUUUCAAAUAACACCCUUAAAGGUCAAGGGCCUUCACCAAAAAGAAGAGUUCGGCCUUGAUCGAAUGAGGACGGGUCAGUAUUUCGACAAGUUCGAAAUAACACCCUUUAAGGCUUAGGGCCUUCGCCAAAAAGAAGAGUUCAACCUUGAUCGAACGUUGACGGUUCUGUAUUUCGACAAGUUCGAAAUAACACCCUUUAAGGCCAAGGGCAUUUGCCAAAAAGAAGAGUUCGACCUUGAUCGAACGACGAUGGGUCAGUAUUUCGACAAGUUCGAAAUAACGGCCUUAAAGGCCAAGGGCCUUCGCCAAAAAGAAGAUUUCAACCUUGAUAGAACGAUGACGGGUUAAUAUUUCGACAAGUUCGAAAUAACACCCUUUAAGGCCAAGGGCCUUCGCCAAAAAGAAGAGUUCGUCCUUGAUCGAAUGAGGACGGGUCGGUAUUUUGAUAAGUUCGAAAUAACACCCUUUA